GAAUCGUCCUUUCUUGCAUUUGCUCCGACGGUGUGAUACGUCUCCUGGGCGUUUGGGCCUUCGACUCGCCUUGUGGCCGGAGUGACACGCGGCCGCGGCGCCUGCCUUUAUCCCAAAGCCCCAGGACACCGCGGGGGCUUUUGUAUCUUCCCAUGCACUUGACAUCACACACGCUGUGAGACCUACAAUCUUGGGUCUUCCUGAAUGCUGAUUUGUCAAUGGUCCUUGAGAGGGUAAUCAAUUGAGGAAGCUGAAGUUCCCACAGGCUGGAGUGACAUGAGAGGGACAGGAGAAAUGUGCCCUCUUGAUGAGAACCUGGAGGAUACGCUGAGCUAUGCCCUACAAGAGGCAAUCAAGAACCGAAGAGCCUGUGAAACUUUCUCAGAUGGCUACUCGGGAUCCCUGGUUGCCCCAAGUGAAUCUUCCCACACACUUGACACAAUUGCUGUAAAUUCAACAGAAUCAAAAGGGUUUUUUGAAAAAUGAACAGAACGUUCCUGUUUCCAACAUAAGCAACCUAAUGACCAUUAGUGUAAUUGUCCUAUCUCUAAAAUAAUGAGACCCUAUUCCUUCAGUCAAAAAUAGUUGAGAGCACACCACAUAGCUGAUGAUGCUCGAAGAAAGGUGCAAGUGAGGAGGACACCAAUGGAACAUCAAUUUUGAAUCCCAUCAUUGGCAUAUCCAGUCAGCACUGAAAAGCGUGAAGGUUGUGGUAGAGUUGGCUCCUCAGAGUGAAGGUGACACCAUCAAAAGCAGAUGGAAAUAGAAGACAAGUAUUGCAGCAGAGGUGGCCUUAUGUCCUUCAAUUGAACUACCUUUCUCAACAAAUGAGCCCAGGAUUGUUUCUAUUUAGGAGUUUAAGUGGUGGCAGGUCUGACAUGAGGGAUGAAGUGUCCCUGGACGACUACAGUAGAAGUUGACAAAAUCUGCUUUGUCUCAAAGUUCUGGGUCAUGGAAAUGGUGGGAAAGAAGAUUUGCAAAUUCUCGAAUACUUUUCUCAACAAAUGGAGCCCAGGACUGUUUCUAUUUAGGGGUUUAAGUGGUGGGAGAUCUGACACCAGGUUAGGCAGGCCUCCCCCACCCAGGAGGGGUCCCACGCUCUGCUUAAUGACCCACAUGUUCAUUUAACAUUUCAUUGGGAGGAAUAGAAAUGAGGUUAAAUGAUACUGUUAACCUGCUGGGACAGGCAACCUCAACAUGCAAGGCUCCUUUGUAGUUGGAUCUCAAGAGCUACCUGCAUCAGUUGUGCAUUUUUUACUUUUGAGCAGGCAGAAUACCUGCCCUUUGCAUUAAACUCAAAUGCUGCAGGCAGGACAGGAAGGGGGGGGGCUGCUUCUCUGCAGCAGUUACAAAAAUCCACAAACACCUGGUGACAACUGAGUGUUGCUUGGAACAAAGAUUCCAAACAGUAGAUUGAAAUGGGGAAAUAUAUGGAAAUAUAUGGUACUCAGGCUGGCAGAUGAUUUUUUUAAAUAGUUCUAAUGCAUCAAAAUCUUGCAAUGUUUCAGUGAAUGCUGAAUAAUUUUGGCAAGCUUAAAAAGACUAUAUUUUUGAAGAUUUAAUUUUUAGUCAUUUCAUUUUUGCUGCCUUUGGUAUGAACCAUUCCAAUAUAUCUAAUCCUUUGCCACUAAUGAAAUUUUUUAAU